UGUUUCGGCUAGGGGGCCAUCCCGGCUUACCAACCCGAUGCAAACUGCGAAUACCGGAGAAUGUUAUCACGGGAGACACACGGCGGGUGCUAACGUCCGUCGUGAAGAGGGAAACAACCCAGACCGCCAGCUAAGGUCCCAAAGUCAUGGUUAAGUGGGAAACGAUGUGGGAAGGCCCAGACAGCCAGGAUGUUGGCUUAGAAGCAGCCAUCAUUUAAAGAAAGCGUAAUAGCUCACUGGUCGAGUCGGCCUGCGCGGAAGAUGUAACGGGGCUAAACCAUGCACCGAAGCUGCGGCAGCGACACUCAGGUGUUGUUGGGUAGGGGAGCGUUCUGUAAGCCUGUGAAGGUGUGUCGUGAGGCAUGCUGGAGGUAUCAGAAGUGCGAAUGCUGACAUAAGUAACGAUAAAGCGGGUGAAAAGCCCGCUCGCCGGAAGACCAAGGGUUCCUGUCCAACGUUAAUCGGGGCAGGGUGAGUCGACCCCUAAGGCGAGGCCGAAAGGCGUAGUCGAUGGGAAACGGGUUAAUAUUCCCGUACUUGGUGUUACUGCGAAGGGGGGACGGAGAAGGCUAUGUUGGCCGGGCGACGGUUGUCCCGGUUUAAGCGUGUAGGUGUGUGUUCCAGGUAAAUCCGGUUCACUUUAACACUGAGGCGUGACGACGAGGCACUACGGUGCUGAAGCAACAAAUGCCCUGCUUCCAGGAAAAGCCUCUAAGCAUCAGGUAACAUCAAAUCGUACCCCAAACCGACACAGGUGGUCAGGUAGAGAAUACCAAGGCGCUUGAGAGAACUCGGGUGAAGGAACUAGGCAAAAUGGUGCCGUAACUUCGGGAGAAGGCACGCUGACACGUAGGUGAAGUGAUUUACUCAUGGAGCUGAAGUCAGUCGAAGAUACCAGCUGGCUGCAACUGUUUAUUAAAAACACAGCACUGUGCAAACACGAAAGUGGACGUAUACGGUGUGACGCCUGCCCGGUGCCGGAAGGUUAAUUGAUGGGGUCAGCGCAAGCGAAGCUCCUGAUCGAAGCCCCGGUAAACGGCGGCCGUAACUAUAACGGUCCUAAGGUAGCGAAAUUCCUUGUCGGGUAAGUUCCGACCUGCACGAAUGGCGUAAUGAUGGCCAGGCUGUCUCCACCCGAGACUCAGUGAAAUUGAACUCGCUGUGAAGAUGCAGUGUACCCGCGGCAAGACGGAAAGACCCCGUGAACCUUUACUAUAGCUUGACACUGAACAUUGAGCCUUGAUGUGUAGGAUAGGUGGGAGGCUUU
rnacentral:rRNA from 1 species